rnacentral:rRNA from 1 species
CCUACGGGGGACAGCAGUGAGGAAUAUUGGUCAAUGGGCGCGAGCCUGAACCAGCCAAGUCGCGUGAGGGAUGAAGGUUCUAUGGAUCGUAAACUUCUUUUAUAAGGGAAUAAAGUGUGGGACGUGUCCUAUUUUGUAUGUACCUUAUGAAUAAGGAUCGGCUAACUCCGUGCCAGCAGCCGCGGUAAUACGGAGGAUCCGAGCGUUAUCCGGAUUUAUUGGGUUUAAAGGGUGCGUAGGCGGCCUUGUAAGUCAGCGGUGAAAGGCUGUGGCUCAACCAUAGAAUUGCCGUUGAAACUGGGGGGCUUGAGUAUGUUAGAGGCAGGCGGAAUGCGUGGUGUAGCGGUGAAAUGCUUAGAUAUCACGCAGAACCCCGAUUGCGAAGGCAGCCUGCCGGGCCAUGACUGACGCUGAUGCACGAAAGCGUGGGGAUCGAACAGGAUUAGAUACCCCGGUAGUC